rnacentral:rRNA from 1 species
GACGAACCGUGCGAACGUUGUUCGGAAUCACUGGGCGUAAAGGGUGCGUAGGCGGGUCUUUAAGUCAGGGGUGAAAUCCUGGAGCUCAACUCCAGAACUGCCUUUGAUACUGAGGAUCUUGAGUACGGGAGAGGUGAGUGGAACUGCGAGUGUAGAGGUGAAAUUCGUAGAUAUUCGGAAGAACACCAGUGGCGAAGGCGACACACUGGCCCGUAACUGACGCUGAGGCGCGAAAGCGUGGGGAGCAAACAGG